AACUGAUAAUUCUGUCUGAUAGCCAGUGAGGACCUGGGGUAUGACAGCAGCCAUCUGAGUGAAGCUGGAAGUGCAUUUUUGAGACUUCCCAAAUAGACUGAGCUUGGAAAUAGAUUCUUCUCCAGUUGAGCCUCGCGUUGACUGCAGUCCCUGCUAAUACCUUGGUUGUAGCCUUGUAGGAUACCUUGAAUCAAAGGUAUCCAGCUAAGCUGUGCCUAGAUUUCUGACCUACAGAAAUGUCCUUAAGGUGUGAUGUGAAUGUUUCUGGUGGUGAUGGAAGACAUUGACCAUGCUCCUCCACCUCCAGAGAAUUGAGAAGCCUGGGAAUUGCUUAAAUGCACAUGGAAAUGAUAAAACCACAUGCAGUAGAAAAAGACAGCGAAGACACAGGAAAAGAUGACAGUCCAAGCCAGUGUAGACUUUACGGAGAUCAUAUGAGAGAAGAGGAGAACAAUGAUGCUUGAAAGCAAUGAGGGUAGGCCAUCAAAGUUCUCAUGGCACCAAGGAUUGAAACAAUGGGGUAAUGGAGACCCUGGACAUUUAUUUUCUCACCAGUGAAAAUUAAUGAAGACUCAGGAGUUACUACAACAUUAGUGAUGAGAAAGAAGUUUCAGCAGCUAGACUGUGUUGAUACUCUCUUAUAAAUGUGUGUCCAGGACUUUUUUUUUGGAGGGGGGAUCACUUCUAAGUCAGUACCAUAAAGUCCUUUUUAGAACUAGCUGGCAGCUACUUAACCAAAAAUUAGCAAGAAGAAUAUGGAUAGCACAAUUCCUGUGACAUGAGUCCCAUUCCAAGGUUUCCAUUUCUGUCUUUAGUACCAUAAUCCUUUAAUGCUUCAGGACAUCUCCAAACCCUUAUACUUUUUCCAUUCCCAUAACCCAAUCUGUCACCAAUUAUUAAUUUUAUUUUUGAUUUUCUUUCUUUACAUACUCCCUCUGCUUCAUUAUCAACCACCACUGGAAUCCAGGUUCCAUUACCUCAUAUGCCAAUUAUUCCAAAAGUUUUCUAACACAUUUUCUUGACCCUUCUCUCCCCUUUUCAUUCUCUUCUUCAAUUCAUUGCCAAUCUAGUAUAAAAUAAUAAUUUUAUUAUGCAUUGUUUUCUAAAAUAUUGUGGUGGAUAUAAAUUGUCUAUUGUACAAGGCCAUACUUUUAGGUCUAGUCUUCUGGAUCAUACAUAAUCUCUAAUCACCUUCUUCUCACUACUCCUCAAUAAAGCUGGUGAUACAAUCUUCCUUUCAUCACAUCUUUCAGUAACAAAACCCAGCCUAUUCCAGGCACGGUUGUUCACUGCAUGCCAAAAUAUACACCUUUAUCUUCACCUCUGCGCUCUUUCUCCAACCUACGAUGCCCUGCUGGCUUCCUCAUUAAACUUUCCCUUUCUUGAAAGGUCAGAUUCAUCAUGAUGUGUUUUUUUCUUUUUUGCACUUUUCCCUGUCCCUGAGUUGUCAGUUCAGUUUUGAUUCAUACUUUAGUUAUUUUCUGAACUAGCUUUGAGUUUUCAUAAAUAUCUUAGUCUUGUGAACCAAGGUCUAAUUCACAGAGUGACUCAGUGAAAAGUAUACAUUGGUUGGUCAAUUGACAUGCCUUCUUUGAGGGAUUCAUUGCUAAGACUGUCUUUGUGUUUACUGGGGUGGGCAGAGGGCAAAAACAGGAGAUGGGUAAGAGAAAAAAUUGGGGACACUAAUAUUUUAUUUUUUACAAUGUCUGUAAAAUUGUUGGACUUAAGGAAACACGUACACUAAAUUCAAUGAUGAGGGAAAAAAAGUAAACUUCACAGAGCUGUAGUAAACACCAGAUGUUGAAAGAGGAUCUUACCAGACUAGCCAUCUUCAUCUUUCAUCUCUAGGAGACAAAUUACAACAGAGAACCAGAGUAAACAUUAAGAAACCAUAGAGGACAUUAAGUGAGAAUGCAGAGCUAUAGAUUUCAAAACAGAAGACCCACCCAGGGAGCCACUCAGUUUGUCCCUCCAUUAUCCAAGGCUGCUGCUCUAUGUCCUUCUGCCUCCAUAGGGAUCUGCUGGUCUUUGUCCUUCGCUUUCCCCUCCCUUCCUGCAAUAGAUGUGCACACUCACAUUUUCAGGAUCCAAGGAAGGGAACAAAGCUUGAUUCUCUGAUUCACCCAGAACAUUGACCCAGAACCUCUUUAACUCUGUUGAAUUAAAAAUAAG